ACGGGAGGCAGCAGUCGGGAAUAUUGCGCAAUGGAGGAAACUCUGACGCAGUGACGCCGCGUAUAGGAAGAAGGUUUUCGGAUUGUAAACUAUUGUCGUUGGGAAGAGAAAGGACAGUACCUAAGGAGGAAGCUCCGGCUAACUACGUGCCAGCAGCCGCGGUAAUACGUAGGGAGCGAGCGUUAUCCGGAUUUAUUGGGUGUAAAGGGUGCGUAGACGGGAAAUUAAGUUAGUUGUGAAAUCCCUCGGCUCAACUGAGGAACUGCAACUAAAACUGGUUUUCUUGAGUGCAGGAGAGGUAAGUGGAAUUCCUAGUGUAGCGGUGAAAUGCGUAGAUAUUAGGAGGAACACCAGUGGCGAAGGCGACUUACUGGACUGUAACUGACGUUGAGGCACGAAGGUGUGGGGAGCAAACAGGAUUAGAUACCCUGGUA
rnacentral:rRNA from 1 species